GCUUCUGCAUAACACUCCUGACUCCUCCGUAUGAAGAGAGUUAGCUCCGAAGUUGGAUCUGAUAUCAUAUUGUAUAAUGUCUGCAAGAAGCUGUGAUGUGUCGAGGAAUCUCUGAGCUUCUUUACCUGUACCAGAGGUUUCCCGGAAGGAGGCUGUAGAAAAAUUGGUGAAAAAAAAAAUUCGUGAAAACGUUUCCUUUGAUCUGCCGAUAAACAGAAGAACACGGACAUUUACAUCGUCACGUUCCGCCAAUAUUGAAUCAGUGACUUUUCUUGGGAUCGUCCCGUAAAUUCUUUGGCACGAGAAUAUACGAGAAAAGAAAAAAAAAGAGGAAAGCAUAAAUGUCAAAAGUGGAGAGAAAAGUAUUUUAUCCGUGAACUUGAGACUGCCAGGCAGUUAUUAAUGAAUUUGCUAAUUACUUCAGAGACACAGUUGUGCACUGUGCUUAAAGGGUGUUGGUACCGGAAAAAGAUAAUGUAUAAUUGCCGACAAGAGAUACAGAAAUUUAUGCAUAAAUGCAUACAGAAAUGCAUUCAUAGACACGCUUAGAAAUAUACAGAGCGAAUGACGUAGAUAUAUAUGUUAGCGUAAAGGCGGCCCAGAUUCAUACUCAGCCACUAUCAGAGUUCAGAGUGAACGAGCCCUUUAUGAAUGCAUACUUGCCGCCAUUCCUCGUUUAUGCGUGUUCUACGUUUUACACGCAUUAAAUUACACGUGUUAUCUACAUUCAGUGCGCAUGCGCAGUUAUUACCCAGGUGCUCCGUUUCCUUGUCUUGCUUCACUGGUACAAACUUAUCCAGCAAGCACAGUUGUUCUAUAAGAUACAUAUAUAUAUAUAACUUUUAAGUAGUUGUAUAAUAACAUAAAAUUUAUGUAUUUCAGGUUUAACUGUUAUGAGAUGCAUUCACUGGCUUUGUUUCUUCUUGCUACUUCCUUACUGCAUAUUCUCCAGCUUAAUGUUCAAGAAAUAUAGUAUGGCCACGUCUGUCGCGAAAUUUCGCGACAAUUCCAAGCUGCUGUAUAUGCUUCUACGUAUAAGCAUAUAAGUUCCCUGGUGCUCUACGCACUUUCCACGAACACGUGCGCAGUGUCUAGGUAAUAAUGUAAUUCCAUGAAGGAGUGUUUGUUUUAAUUGGCUCGAGACUCCGGCUUCGUUCAACACCUUGUAUUCUCAGCAAGCAAACCAGCAGGGAACACAAAGUAAAUCCAAGAGGGGAGCUACGUAGCGCGAAAAGCGGUGAUAUUGAGGAGACUAAAAAGAAAAUAUGAAAAGCAUCCCUCUGAGACUGUUACUGUGGGACUUCAAGGAAUCUAAAAGUUUCCUUCAAGGUUUUAGGGAUUUAAUGGAAUUGUAAAGGUACGUAUCGUUACCGUCAGUCGACCGUUUCUGCACGGUAACAGCGUAUCCACGAGGCGUUAAGUCUCGCCGUUGUUUUUCGCGUUGCGUGAUUCGCACUGCAGCUUUAGAUAGGUUAGGUGCAAGAGAGCCAUCGCAACCACCAAGAAAGUAACAGCAGCGGAAUUGCCGCGGAUCCGACGAGUCGCCUCAGUUGCAGUUGCACUUGGUGCAACUGCACACCGCGGAUGACCUCGGCGCAGGAAACAGGAAAUCCUGAGGAGUAAACCAACCAGAAACGUAUUCAGAAGAUACAGAAGCUUCACUGUCAUGAGGAAUUGUCAGUGAAAGAGAUUCAUGGGAAGGAAAAGAAUCGCAUGGCAUCUUCCGCGUAGGCCAUUAUAGCUAUAAGAGUGCAAAUGAGACAAGAGAUUGAUAUGCCACAGUAUUAAGAAAAAAGUCGGCCAUUUGUUUCUCUAAUAUUUGAAAAAACAAAAUGGCUGCUUUGUCUACCAAGAAGACACGUAAUACGUAACUUUGCUUUGUUGGUCCUUUGUCCGCCAAGAAUAAUGAAAUUUUUCUCUCGUUCUGCUACAUUUCUUUUGUAUUCUCCCCUUGUACUUUUUCUUUUUUUUUUCAAUCUUUUAAUAACCGCUCCAGCUACCCUCCUAGAAACAUCGUGAUCACGGGACUGGCGGGCAAAAUAGUUUGCGUCAUCGCGAAAGUCAAACGAGGCCAAACAGAGUGUAAAGAAAUUUACAGCUUGUUGAGAAGAGCAGAACCAGCCAAAUUACUGGUACGCACACACAGCCACGAGUAUGGAUAAUAACAGCACAAUAAAUCCUCAUGGACUAUGCUGACGAAACCAGCAGGGGAUCUAUAUCUGGUGAUCUAGCAGACUAGAAUAAUCGAUGCUACGUCCAUUCAUUUCUCCGCUGACUCCUUCUAGAUGAGAAACCCCACAGGUACCGGUGGCUCUAAACAAACUAGCCACUGAUGAAUAUAAUUGGCAGCCACCCAUGGCGUACGGUUUAUACGCUAUUUUAAAGCGAUAAGAAUUUCCUGAGAAAUUUUCGCAAUCGACAAUCACGAGCUGACCGAUUACUUAGUCAUUAAAUAAUCGCAUGACUUCUGAAAUUAUGACCGGUUCUACCAGUUCCAAUGAACCAGGACGAAAUAGUUUUUCUGGCACCAAUUAUCUCUUCUGUGCAGAAAUAUUGCAGCAGUCAAUGUACAGGUACAAGAAGGUGAUUGUAAGCUUUCCUAAUAUUUCUCUGUAUCAACCUGGAUUAUUUUCACGUAUUUUCAUCCAAUCUUGCGACGCACUGAAAAUCAAGAAAAGAGGUGUAACAUUGCCGUAACGGUUUUAGACUCGCCGAGGCUGAACGGCUUGCCAGUCGGCUCUCGAAGCGGGUACGGUGUAACUGGCAAUUAAACUUUCAUAACCUGUCCAUUAGCGCGAAUUAACGUAGGGCACUAACUCAUCGGGAUGCCGCUGAUGCAACGCGCUUAAUUUACGUCGAGAGUGGGGGGGUUGUUUGCCCUCGUUUCCCUUGAGGGCAAACUAAUGCACAUAACCUGUACAUCAGAGAGUCCUGAUGGUUUCUGGUGGAGAGGAGAGGAGAGGAGCCCUACGGCAACGUUGUACCAAGAGUAUUACACGGAACAGACAUUCUAUGAAUUACCAAAUUCCUUGGCAAAGUGGCUAUAGAUUAUAUUCAUAGUAAAAUACUCCCAGGAAACGAUCUUCUGUAAAUAAAUAAAUAACUAUUACAGGUUA